GGUAGCAGCUUCUCUUGUCUGUCUGUUUGUCAGUGCUGGCACACUUUAUGAGCUCAUCGUCAACACGUGCUUCACAUCGGAGAGGAAGAACUCUUUCUCUGCCUCCAAGAUCGGUCGUUUGCUUCAGUGUUUUUCGGCAUACUCCAACACAAAGAAAGUGCUUGACACUCAUCAGCUGCCCGGCCAACUCUACAUGCUUGACGGUCUUCGAGUGUUGAGCGCUCUUUGGAUCAUUUUCGGGCAUAUGGAUUUGUACGCUGACGCAGCAGCCAACAUAGGCAACAGAUCCGAAUUUGACGUUCGUAGCCGGGAGCGGUGGUUCGCUGUCCUGGAAGCCUACGAUCUGUCUGUAGAUGCCUUUCUCGUUCUCGGUGGUUUCUUAGCAUCACACGUUUUCCUGGAGAAGCUGAAGAAAAGAGGCGGUGAGUACACCUGGCAGGACCUUGGUCUUCACUAUCUACACCGCUACUGGAGGUAGGACUCUAUGAUCAUCUUUAUGCAGAUGUAUCCCUACAGUAAUAUAUGUGUUUUGUUGUAGAGUAUACGGCCUUAACAGAUUGACGAGAUGGCUGGUGCUAUAGGAGCAGGGUGAAUGAGAAACAUAGUGGCAAGAUCUUUCUUGUAAGACUGUGUAAUGUAAUAUUUUUGAAGACAUUUACUACUACAGCUAACACGGGCAUAUGUAUAAAGAAAAUGUACACAUUUCAUUAGAUUGUUAUGACCUUAGCAAAUGUAUUAGGUAUUUUGAGGGGUACACUCAGUGGUGAGAAUGCCAUGGUAACAUAGGGUGUACACGUUGAUUUAACAAAGGAAGUGACAUUUUUGUGUUGAUGGUGUUCUUUUCUCCUUUUCAGACUGACCCCAGUAUACCUCUUCGUUCUGCUGGUUUAUCUACCGUUUGACAAAGGUUGCCGAAGUUACUGGUGGACAAACCUGCUCUACAUCAACAAUCAUUUCAUGGAGCCGGAAAAACAGUGCACAGGUUCAUCGUGGUAUCUCAGCAUGGACAUGCAGAUGUACAUCAUAGCCCCUGUCCUUAUCCUGGCACUGUACAAG